UUUUCCCUCACUUUUCUCUUUCUUCCUCCUUCUCUCUCCUGAAACCCUAGCAGUCCAAAAUAACAUAUUCUCCCUUCAACAUCCUCCUUUCUCUCACAUCAAUUUCGUUCUCUCUCCAUACCCUUUCGUUCCUUCUCCAUGCCCUUUCGUUCUCUCUCCAUACCCAACCAAGACUUAUCCUUCCAGCUUCCUCUUAAGCUUUGAGCAUCCUUGCACUAAGAUUGAAAUGCAAAGAUGCUCGAACGAGAAGAAAACAGUAGAAAAAAUUUAUUGUUUAUAAUGGUUAAAUCAAACUGGAAGACUUUGUGUUUCAUCAUACGUGUUCGAUGAAAGGUCUCCGCCGAAAAUGCCUCUCAGCGCUUUCUGUGUAUUCCUUUUUGCAGGCAUUUACCACACUAUGAACAUGGGAGUCAACUUCCAGAUCUUGAGGCAAAGUUUUUCGAUCUUAAGGCAUUGCAUCUUGCUGUUUAUAAGGUACUCCAUUAUCCUGUCAUUUGAUGUCAAUGCAACUAUAUACAUUUAUUUAUUUUAUUUAUAUACCAAUAUUAUUUUUUCUUAUGUUGUUACUCCGUUAUGAAAUGGAUUAUCACAGUAUGUUGUUAUAAUAGUUUUUACUUCUUCACGUGUAGUUGUAUGAAAAGGGAUAUUUUAUGUUGUUUCUAUACUAUACCAGAAGUUUAGUGAAUGAGAAAAUAUGUUAAACUCGCUUGGUCCUGGUGAAAGUAUGAACCAGAGUUGUUUCCAGGACUAAUCUAUCAAAUGAAGCAGCCCAAGAUAGUUUUUCUUAUAUUCGUAUUUGGAAAAAAAAUCUUCUGACAGGAGCCAAGGUAUCGUCGGUCUUGAAAUAUUCCCAUUUAAUCUUAUAUGUUUACCAUUUUCUUCCUCAUUGAACUAAUGUUUUAGUUUGCAUCUGUUAAGGUGAGAGACGAGACUUAUACAACCUUUGAGAACAUAUAUCCAAUGCUUAUUUAGUUCAGGAAAAACUAACAAUGGUAUGUAAAUGGAUUUAUAUCCACAACCUUUUCAAUUGGGAUUGGAUAUACAUGUCAUGAUACUUGGGAGAGGGUUAUAAUUAAAUAUAUCAUUUUGUCUUCUAUUUUGAUUUUUCCCUUCAGUUGUCAAAUUAUAAUUACAAUCCAGACCUUAGUUUUUAAUUGAAAGAUGAAAUAUAUCAUGUAGAUUUUUUCUAAUGUUUCGUUUCCUGAAGAUAUUUGCUAAUGUCAUGGGAUACAUGCUAUUUAUUAAUGGAAGAUUAUCAUCAUGAGCAAGAGCAAAGUUUUUUGGCUGAGAAGAACAUGGAUUGUGGGCUUGACUGAGCUGUAAAUACUGAGACAAAUGAGAUAUUUGGAAUCAGAUAAAGUAAGCCGCUUUUGUUCUGCUUGUGAUAAAUGGAUCUUGAUGUAGUAUAAUGAAAAAACUUGUAUCUUUGAUAAUUUAAAAACAAGAUUUUUAAAGAGGCUGGAAAGGGCUUAAUGGUAAAUAGUUGAGUCUUUUUUACCUUUAUUUUAAGUUAGGUUCCUUAAACUUAUCUAUAGUAUCAAUAAAUUUGCUGAAUGUUGUAUACAUUCCGUCCAUUUUACUUUGUCGGUUUAAUCUUACUUUCAUUGACAGGUUAAUGGGGCUGAUAAUGUUGGAUGAUAAAUCAUGUUGUAUACAUCUCAAGACAAAUAGGACAUUCUGUGUGUUAACAUGUAAAUUAUUAGCAUGAUUUUUGUGAUUGUGAAACAUGUUUUUACUUUAUUGUACUGCCAGUAGAAAUAUAUUGUUAAUUAUAAGUACAUAAUCACUAAUAUACUCAUUGUCAUGCUGAACUAUUGUUCAUGCAUCACCUUUGAUAUAAUGGUAUAGGCCUUAUGGUGUAAAAAUUUGUUUCCGAAAGUUUCUCUACUCAAGCUGGAAGAAUAUUUGCGGUGUUUUGGAUAUUAACAGGUACUAUUUGCGUAGCUCAGUUUUUCCUCUACAUGGCUGAAUUAAACACUGAAAGCAAACAAAAGGCACUUGUCUAUUGGGUUCUUACCAGAAAAAUAACUAAUUACGAUUUGGAACCUGCUGAUCUUAAUGAGGAUGGCACUGUUGGGGCUGCUGAAUUUGUUAUUUAUAAGCUGAAAGAGAUAGGAAAGAUUAGUCAAGAAGAUGUUACACUUGUGAUGGAGUUUGAAGAGCUUGACAUUGAUCAGUCUGGUACACUGUUUGUUUCUGAUAUAACAGUUGCUCAACCAUCUUAGACUAACUUAUUUACAAGGAGCAUUGAUGCUCGUGUGAUAAAGUGAAAGUUAGGGAGUUGAUCUAGAAAUUGAUGUGUAUAGUUAUAUACAAACUAUAAAGUUGUUUGAAAUUUUGUUUUUUACCAACUCAUAUUACAUUG